GACGUAGGGCGCGAGCGUUGUCCGGAUUUAUUGGGCGGUAAAGAGCUCGUAGGCGGCUUGUCGCGUCGACUGUGAAACCCGCGGCUCAACCGCGGCCUGCAGCCGGAUACGGGCAGGCUAGAGUUCGGGUAGGGGAGACUGGAAUUCCUGGUGUAGCGGUAGAAAUGCGCAGAUAUCGAGGAGGAACACCGAUGGCGGAAGGCAGGUCUCUGGGCCGAUACUGACGCUGAGGAGCGGAAAGCAUGGGGAGCGAACAGG
rnacentral:rRNA from 1 species